UACGAAGGGGGCUAGCGUUGCUCGGAAUCACUGGGCGUAAAGCGCACGGUAGGCGGAUUGGUUAAGUCCAGGGGUGAAAGUCCUGGAGCUCAACUCCAGAACUGCCUUUGAUACUGGCGGAGUCUUGAGUCCGGGAGAGGUGAGUGGGAACUCCGAGUGUAGAGGUGAAAUUCGUAGAUAUUCGGAAGAACACCAGUGGCGGAAGGCGGCUCACUGGCCCGGUACUGGACGCUGAUGG
rnacentral:rRNA from 1 species